CGGGCUCAACUUCAGGUUUAAUUCACAAUAGUUUACAUUUCACAUUAAGACUAACAGUGGUUCUAUCAACACUGCCACCUACAGGUCUGUCAAGUACAUUGACAAUUUUCAUGGGGUUUUACAAACACCAAAACACUGACCCCUAUAGGUCAACAGACAAACAACAUUUCACAUACCAAUCAGUAUCAACUACACUGCUACCUAUAG